rnacentral:rRNA from 1 species
GUGGGGAAUCUUCCGCAAUGGACGAAAGUCUGACGGAGCGACGCCGCGUGAGUGAAGAAGGCCUUCGGGUCGUAAAGCUCUGUCAUCAGGGACGAACGGCCGGUGGAGUGGAAAGCCACCGGAUUGACGGUACCUGAGAAGGAAGCCACGGCUAACUACGUGCCAGCAGCCGCGGUAAUACGUAGGUGGCAAGCGUUGUCCGGAAUUAUUGGGCGUAAAGCGCGCGCAGGUGGGAUCUGAAGUCCAUUUUUAAAGUUCGGAGCUCAACUCCGUGAUGGGAUGGAAACUGGGAUUCUUGAGUACCGGAGAGGAAAGCGGAAUUCCCCGUGUAGCGGUGAAAUGCGUAGAUAUGGGGAGGAACACCAGUGGCGAAGGCGGCUUUCUGGACGGUGUCUGACACUGAGGCGCGAAAGCCAGGGGAGCGAACGGGAUUAGAAACCCGUGUAGUCC